GACGAACGCUGGCGGCGUGCUUAACACAUGCAAGUCGAACGGAAAGGCCCUGCUUUUGUGGGGUGCUCGAGUGGCGAACGGGUGAGUAACACGUGAGUAACCUGCCCUUGACUUUGGGAUAACUUCAGGAAACUGGGGCUAAUACCGGAUAGGAGCUCCUGCUGCAUGGUGGGGGUUGGAAAGUUUCGGCGGUUGGGGAUGGACUCGCGGCUUAUCAGCUUGUUGGUGGGGUAGUGGCGUACCAAGGCUUUGACGGGUAGCCGGCCUGAGAGGGUGACCGGCCACAUUGGGACUGAGAUACGGCCCAGACUCCUACGGGAGGCAGCAGUGGGGAAUAUUGCACAAUGGGCGGAAGCCUGACGCAGCAACGCCGCGUGCGGGAUGACGGCCUUCGGGUUGUAAACCGCUUUCGCCUGUGACGAAGCGUGAGUGACGGUAAUGGGUAAAGAAGCACCGGCUAACUACGUG
rnacentral:rRNA from 1 species